rnacentral:rRNA from 1 species
GACGAACGCUGGCGGCGUGCUUAACACAUGCAAGUCGAACGAGAAUCUACUGAAAGAGUUUUCGGACAAUGGAUGUAGAGGAAAGUGGCGGACGGGCGAGUAACGCGUGAGGAACCUGCCUUGAAGAGGGGGACAACAGUUGGAAACGACUGCUAAUACCGCAUGAAGCAUAGGGGUCGCAUGAUCUUUAUGCCAAAGAUUUAUCGCUUCAAGAUGGCCUGGGGUCUGAUUAGCUGGUUGUCGGGGUACCGGCCCACCAAGGCGACGAUCAGUAGCCGGAAUGAGAGGAUGAACGGCCGCAUGCGGACGGAGAUACGGGCCAGACUCCUACAGGAGGCAGAGGUGGGGAAUAUUGAGCAAUGGGCGCGAGCCUGAGCCGGCAACGCCGCGUGAAGGGAGAAGGCUUUCGGGUUGUAAACUUCUUUUAAGAGGGAAGAGCAGAAGACGGUACCUCUAGAAUAAGCAACGGCUAACUACGUGCCAGCAGCCGCAGUAA